GCUACCUGCAGUCGAACGCGAGACCCCGCAAGGGGUUUGUAGAGUGGCAAACGGGUGAGUAACACGUGGGUGACCUGCCUCAGAGUGGGGGAUAACGACCCGAAAGGGUCGCUAAUACCGCAUAACAUCCUGCGCUUGGAAGCGUGGAGAUCAAAGCCGGGGAUCGCAAGACCUGGCGCUUGGAGAGGGGCCCGCGGCCGAUUAGCUAGUUGGUGAGGUAACGGCUCACCAAGGCAACGAUCGGUAUCCGGCCUGAGAGGGCGGACGGACACACUGGGACUGAGACACGGCCCAGACUCCUACGGGAGGCAGCAGUGGGGAAUUGUUCGCAAUGGGCGCAAGCCUGACGACGCAACGCCGCGUGGAGGACGAAGAUCUUCGGGUCGUAAACUCCUUUCGAUCGAGAAGAAUGCCUACGGGUCUAAUAGGCCUGUAGGGUGACGGUAUCGAGAGAAGAAGCCCCGGCUAACUCUGUGCCAGCAGCCGCGGUAAUACAGGGGGGGCAAGCGUUGUUCGGAAUUACUGGGCGUAAAGGGCCAGUAGGCGGCCAACUAAGUCCGACGUGAAAUCCCCAGGCUUAACCUGGGAACUGCGUCGGAUACUGGAUGGCUUGAAUUCGGGAGAGGGAUGCAGAAUUCCAGGUGUAGCGGUGAAAUGCGUAGAUAUCUGGAGGAAUACCGGUGGCGAAGGCGGCAUCCUGGACCGACAUUGACGCUGAACGGCGAAAGCUAGGGGAGCAAACGGGAUUAGAUACCCCGGUAGUCCUAGCCCUAAACGAUGAAUGCUUGGUGUGGCGGGUAUCGAUCCCUGCCGUGCCGAAGCUAACGCAUUAAGCAUUCCGCCUGGGGAGU
rnacentral:rRNA from 1 species